UACAGAGGGGGCAAGCGUUGUUCGGAAUUACUGGGCGUAAAGGGCGCGUAGGCGGCCUGCUAAGUCGAACGUGAAAUCCCCGGGCUCAACCCGGGAACUGCGUCCGAUACUGGAAGGCUUGAAUCCGGGAGAGGGAUGUGGAAUUCCAGGUGUAGCGGUGAAAUGCGUAGAUAUCUGGAGGAACACCGGUGGCGAAGGCGACAUCCUGGACCGGUAUUGACGCUGAGGCGCGAAAGCCAGGGGAGCAAACGGG
rnacentral:rRNA from 1 species